UUCCUAUCGUUUAUUGAAAGUAGAAGUACAUAAUAAUUUCGACUAACAAAUAAUAUUAUUAUGAUCGACGAUAUCAUACACACGCUAUAUAUGUAUUAUAAAUUACCUAUUAUAAAUGUAUCCGCGUAACGGCUAGUCGGCUAUACACAGCUAAUACACGAUAAAUAUCCAUAAUAACGCAGUUAUUGAUUAUAAUGUUAUCAUCUAAAAUCUAGCGAAAACGAACGCAGUUUACAGAUUACGGGCUCACAAACCUGUAAACCGGAUCCGUUUUAAAACAUUUUUUUUUUUAAAUUUUUUUUUAAAUAUAUAAUAUAUAAUAAUAAUAAUAAUAAUAAUAAUAAUAAUAAUAAUAAUAAGCGUACAAUAUCAAACAGAAUAUAUUAAUACUACAUAGAUUAUUUGUUUUGGUAAUAAAUAUUGUCGCGAUGAUACUAAAAAAUAGUAUAAAUAUCACAUUUUC